rnacentral:tRNA from 1 species
GCCCCUUUAACUCAACGGUAGAGUAACGCCAUGGUAAGUCGUAAGUCAUCGGAUCAAAUGUAAUAAGGGGCU